AUGAACUCUGGGUUGACGUUCUACAGAGUGAAUGUUGACUAUCGCAUGGAGUUGAAAGCAAAGGGGAGAAAGUCUGAGUCAUGUGGAAAAGUUUUGAACACACCAAUUACUUCUGAAAGGGAUACAAAGGAAACGGAACAUCCUUGGCCCUGAGAAGAGCAGCAGGAUUGGUUUUCUAGGUAGGAUUUCGGAUGAAAAUACCCCCAUCAACUUUCCCUAUGUGGAUAAAAAUUAUAGCACUGUUGUCAAUUCACCUGGAAUACAGAAAGUCCCACAGUCAACUGUAGACAAGGAGGCUACCUUUGCUUUUAAGACCAUAAAGGAUUUCUGUCACAGAGUAAAAACUUGAAGAGUUCUAAGGAUGGACACAUGGAUGGUGAUUUCAUCGUGCUCCUAUUGGCUGAAUCAAAAAAAAAAAAAAACCCAAGGAGGAACAGACCCACUGCUAUACUGCAUGGACAUAUAUAAUCAGGGAGCAGAUGGAAAAUGGAUGUGAAGGAUCAAGGAGAAGAGUUCUAGCAGCCUCAGUUUCCUGCUUUGCAGGAUACAAACUAGGACCAGAAUAAGAGGCAGAUGAUAAUUUUGUGAGAAAAGGAAAAAAAUAACCCUAUAUUUUUCAAAUCAUCUUUAUCUUCUAUCAUUGUCUGUGUACUUCAUAUUUGGACAGGAAAAUGAAUUUUCCUUAUUUCCUGCCUCCUGAUUUCUUCACCAGACUGAAUAAUACUUAAUAGUCAAUUUUUUGGGUAUGGCAAAAGAGGUAUUGGGUACGUUCACAUGCAUGUGUCAGGUAAUAUAUGUGGGAGGUGCUAUUCGACUGUCAGCAAUUGACACUUAGAAAUUAGUUAUCCCAAUGUUUUAUAACUAUUCAUUUUUGUACAGAUCCAGGAAGUGUAGUUUAAACCCUGGCACAUAACACCCGUGCUACCUUGCAAUCGAUAGAAUUGCCAAGUUCACAUUCUGACCUAAUUAUUCUGCCUUUGUUUCCCUAUGGGCUUAAGCAAAGUCAUCCAAAUGGAUCUACAGGUCCCUAAUGAUGUGCUGGGAACAAAUAAGCAAAAUAGUUAAGCCUAAUGUUCUUUGCUUAAUUCCCACUGUUAAUUUUUAUAGUAAGAUGAAAUGUACAAGUCUUCUCAAAGCAUAUGAGACUUGCUAUGCUGUGAGAUCACUGUUUUACUGGUUUGUAAUUAUUCAUCCCAAAUCUCUCUCUCUCUCUCUGUCUCUCUGUCUCUCUGUCUCUCUGUCUCUCUCUCUCUCUCUCUCUCUCUCUCACACACACACACACGCAAAGACAUACACACACAUACACAUACACUUUAUUUUGCUAAUGACUAAGACUUAUUAUUAAUUCCCAAGAAGACUGUAUUAUUAUUAUUAUUUUAUGGAGCUAGACACUGAACCCAAGUGUUACCAACACAUGGAUUAUUGCCAACAGUAGAUUAUUCUGUGUCUCUUUUACUCACAUUUUUGCCCAAAUAUUUAGCAAAUACUUAGCUUGCCUCCACUUCUGUGUUGAAUUGUUAGUUCAUGUUUCUUCUUUGUGUAGUUGUAUAAUUAUUCUUUGUGUAGUUGUAAAAUUAUUCUUUUUUGUUGUAGAUCUUAUAAGUUUAUCUGUCAUUACAGAAGAACAACUCAUACUAAGUCUUAAACUCACAAAUUAAACUAAACCUGCUAUUAUUAAGAAUAAUUUAAGUGGUGGGGUAAAAGUGUUUAACUGUGGAUACACUUAGGCUUGAAACAGUUCAAGGGCAGUUCUAAGGUCAAGGGCAGUGUUUGAGCAUUGAGGCAGGUGGCUGAUAAUGGCCUUUUGAAAGUGGUCUAGGCAUAAAUGUUCUACUGAAAUAUAAUUAUUAUUUCUAACAAAAUGUGUUAUCUGAUCUUUUUUUUUUAUACCAGUAACAUAAUAAAUAGUGUUUCUUCCA